rnacentral:rRNA from 1 species
GAUGAACGCUAGCGGCAGGCUUAAUACAUGCAAGUCGUGGGGCAGCAGGACUGUAGCACUACAGUUGCUGGCGACGGGCAAACGGGUGCGGAACACGUACGCAACUUACCCUGAACUGGGGGAUAGCGCGGGGAAACCCGGAUUAAUACCCCGUAAUAUAAUGGAGUGGCAUCACUUUAUUAUUAAAGCUCCGGCGGUUCGGGAUGGGCGUGCGGCUGAUUAGGUAGUUGGUUGAGGUAACGGCUCACCAAGCCUACGAUCAGUAACUGGUGUGAGAGCACGGCCAGUCACACGGGGACUGAGGCACGGGCCCGACACGUACGGGAGGCAGCAGUAAGGAAGAUUGGGCAAUGGAGGCAACUCUGACCCAGCCAUGCCGCGUGGAGGAGGCAGGCCCUCUGGGUUGUAAACUUCUUUUAAAGGGGACGAAACCUGUGUAUUCGUACGCAGUUGACGGUACCCGAGGAAUAAGCACCGGCUAACUCCGUG